AACAAACGCUGGCGGCGUGCCUAACACAUGCAAGUCGUACGAGAAAGGGUCCUUCGGGACCUGAGUAAAGUGGCGCACGGGUGAGUAACGCGUGGAUAAUCUGCCCUUCAGUUGGGAAUAACUCAUCGAAAGGUGGGCUAAUACCGAAUGAUACUGCGAGACUUUGGUCGAGCAGUCAAAGAGAGCCUCUGCUUGCAAGCCCUCGCUGAAGGAUGAGUCCGCGUACCAUUAGCUAGUUGGUAGGGUAAUGGCCUACCAAGGCGACGAUGGUUAGCUGGUCUGAGAGGAUGAUCAGCCACACUGGAACUGAGACACGGUCCAGACUCCUACGGGAGGCAGCAGUGAGGAAUCUUGCGCAAUGGGGGCAACCCUGACGCAGCAACGCCGCGUGAGUGAGGAAGGUCUUCGGAUCGUAAAGCUCUGUCAGAUGGAAAGAACCGCAUGGGGAUUAAUAGUCCCCGUGUCUGACGGUACCAUCAGAGGAAGCACCGGCUAACUCC
rnacentral:rRNA from 1 species